rnacentral:rRNA from 1 species
CCAGACUCCUACGGGAGGCAGCAGUGAGGAAUAUUGGUCAAUGGGCGCGAGCCUGAACCAGCCAAGUCGCGUGAGGGAAGACGGUCCUAUGGAUUGUAAACCUCUUUUGUCGGGGAGCAAAAGACGCCACGCGUGGCGUUCCGAGAGUACCCGAAGAAAAAGCAUCGGCUAACUCCGUGCCAGCAGCCGCGGUAAUACGGAGGAUGCGAGCGUUAUCCGGAUUUAUUGGGUUUAAAGGGUGCGCAGGCGGAAUGUCAAGUCAGCGGUAAAAUUUCGGGGCUCAACCCCGUCGUGCCGUUGAAACUGACGCCCUUGAGUGAGUGAGAAGUAAGCGGAAUGCGUGGUGUAGCGGUGAAAUGCAUAGAUAUCACGCAGAACGCCGAUUGCGAAGGCAGCAUACCGGCGCCCAACUGACGCUGAAGCACGAAAGCGUGGGUAUCGAACAGGAUUAGAUACCCUAGUACG